rnacentral:lncRNA from 1 species
GCUCAUUUCUCAGGGACAGUCACUCUUGUUGUCAGAAUGGGAGCCUAGCUGACAUUUGGCUUUAUGAUGACUGAAUGAGAACCUCAAGUGUUUGGACUGUUUAUUUCCCAGUAUGCUGUCUCUUUUCCC